rnacentral:antisense_RNA from 1 species
CUUUUGCUGGAUAACACUACCUGGUAAUUUGACAUACUAGGUGGUUAGUAACUACUGACUGUCUCCAGGUUACAACACAGUUAUUACCUACUUGGGUGAAAAGAGAAGACAGGAAAUACAUUUUGGAGUUGGCUGGCAACCUGUUUACAAAGCGAUUUACAACAGUUCUUUAUUCUUAAGGGGCUAUUCUAAUAUAAGACCUCAGAGAAACAGUGCAGUGUGACAAAGGAGGAAUUUAUCAAAUGAGACAGAAAAAGCAUCAAGGCAAGCUGUGAAAUGGUGCGGUAGGAACCAAAUAGAGAGCCAAAGGAUCUCUCUGUCACUGCAGGCCCUUAGGGUGCCUGACAUGAAAAUCACAGCCUUGGCGAGAAAACAGCCGCUGCAGGGAGUGGUGGCCACAGUACUCUAGGCAUCCCUCGCCUGCGUCCACUUCCCACCACCCCUCGGAGGGGCCAGCACACAAGACAGUGACCGGGGCAUGUGUCAAGAGCAUGCGAGAGAAUAUCUACCCUGAGGCAGGAAAACACGGCUUCCGCUCGGCUGUCUCCCAGCUUGGUUUCUUAGAAAUCUAUGUCAUUAUCUUUCUGCUGGGAUUGUCAGACCUGAUUUUGAGAGCAUUUAAAACCUGACCCGUGAUGGAGCCUCUAAAA